rnacentral:rRNA from 1 species
AGUGAACGCUGGCGGUAGGCCUAACACAUGAAAGUCGAACGGCAGCACAGUAAGAGCUUGCUCUUACGGGUGGCGAGUGGCGGACGGGUGAGGAAUACAUCGCAAUCUACUUUUUCGUGGGGACUUACGUAGGGAAACUUACGCUAAUACCGCAUACGACCUACGGGUGAAAGCAGUAGAUCAUCGGACCUUGCGCGUUUGAAUGAGCCGAUGUCGGAUUAGCUAGUUGGCGGGGUAAAGGCCCACCAAGGCGACGAUCCGUAGCUGGUCUGAGAGGAUGAUCAGCCACACUGGAACUGAGACACGGUCCAGACUCCUACGGGAGGCAGCAGUGGGGAAUAUUGGACAAUGGGCGAAAGCCUGAUCCAGCCAUACCGCGUGGGUGAAGAAGGCCUUCGGGUUGUAAAGCCCUUUUGUUAGGGAAGAAAAGAAGCGGGUUAAUCCCCCGCUGUUCUGACGGUACCCAAAGAAUAAGCACCGGCUAACUUCGUG